rnacentral:rRNA from 1 species
CCAAUAGCGUAUAUUAAAGUUGUUGCAGUUAAAAAGCUCGUAGUUGAAUUUCGGGGUCAGUAGGUUGGUCAUGCCACUGGUAUGUACUGGUCUCACUGAUUCCUCCUUCCUGAUGAACUGUAAUGCCAUUCAUUUGGUGUUGCAGGGAAUCUGGACUGUUACUUUGAAAAAAUUAGAGGGUUUAAAGCAGGCUAACGCCUGAAUACAUUAACAUGGAAUAAUGAAAUAGGACGUUCGAUCCUAUUUUGUUGGUUUCUAGGAUUGACGUAAUGAUUAAUAGGGAUAGUUGGGGGCAUUAGUAUUCAAUGGUCAGAGGUGAGAUUCUUGGAUUUAUUGAAGACUAACUACUGCGAAAGCAUUUGCCAAGGAUGUUUUCAUUAAUCAAGAACGAAAGUUAGGGGAUCGAAGACGAUCAGAUACCGUCGUAGUCUUAACCAUAAACUAUGCCGACUAGGGAUCGGAUGAUGUUAAUUUUUUAAUGACUCAUUCGGCGCCUUACG